GGAAACAGGAAUUCGGGAACGCGCAUCCCAUCUAGGCGCACUCCCGGUUGAUUUUCCCAGAAUGGAGCAGUGAGCCAGUUACGGCGGUGAAAACCGUUCUCUUCUGAACACCGACUGAGACCACAAUAUUGCCUUGACACCCGGAUUUGCGACACAUUUAAAGCCUACCAGUUUUACGUUGGAUUUCGGAGGAAAACGUUCUGGAUUUGUGACAGGUGAACCAUCGAGUUGUUUCCUGCCAGACCUUUAGUGGGCAGUGAGCUCGGCUGUCUAGCUAAACUUCACCAAAGAUGGAUCAGCUGUCAGACGAGGAGCUGGACCAUACAGAGGGAGGAGGAGAGGAGGAGGACAGUGAUAAAGAAGAUCAGGAUCUAGACAAGAUGUUUGGAGCCUGGCUGGGAGAGCUGGAUAAACUCACACAGAAUCUAGAUGAUGGCUUCACAGAGGACAGUCCAGAAGGCCCCUCAGAAACCCUCCCUCAGACAGGAGACCAACAUGGC